rnacentral:lncRNA from 1 species
GGGAGCUUUCAUGUGGCCGACCAACUCUACUCCUUGACUCCUCCCUUCUCUCAUUGAAAAAAAAUGUUUAAGGGGACAUUUCUCUCUCCUAAACUUUUUAUGUUCCAUUGAAGACCUGGAAAACAUGUUAAAUAAAAAUGCUUUGCCACAGCUGACCUAUGUCUUCUGGCUUGUACCCCACAACAUCUUAUCUAAUGGAGCCAGUCUUGGUGCUCUGUGUUCACCUGGUUCAUCUGAGGAGCUGCAUCUACCCUGCCCAUGCCAUAGAUCCUGCCCUGUUUGCUUCUCCUGUUGCUGCUAGUGGACAUGAGAUCUUGGACAUGAUACCUGGAUGUGCAGCAGCCAUCUGGUAAUUAUGAGGUGACAAGUCAAUAGACUGAGAUGGUGGAGCAGCAAAGAUAGAAAAGAAGGACAGAAUAACGGGCUCCCAGAUUCACAAGCCCCACCAAGAGGAUCACCCCAGGAACGCUUGGAGGCUGAGGAGUUCACUGAGGCUACUGCAUCUUGAGACUCAGGAUGAAGACCCAGCUUGGGGCUGUCAAAGGUUUUUUGCAUGUCUGACACCCAUGACUCCACCUGGACCUUAUGGCUCCACCCAGAAGCAAUUCAGCCCAACAGGAGGACAGCUUCAACCCAUUACGAUUUCAUCUCUGCCCCAACCACUCAGCAGCAAGCACCUGUUACCUGUCCACCCCCACCCCUUCCCCCAAACUGCCUUUGAAAAAUCCCUAACCUAUGAGCUUUGAAUAAGAUGAGUACGAACUUCAUCGCCCACGUGGCGUGGCCGGCCUCGUGUCUAUUAAAUUCUUUUUCUACUACAA